AAAGAUUUAGUUAAAUUAUAAUAUUAAAUUGUCAAUUUAAAGUUAUUUAUUUUUAAAUAUUCUUUA
rnacentral:tRNA from 1 species